UUCCAGACUCCUACGGGAGGCAGCAGUGGGGAAUAUUGCACAAUGGGGGAAACCCUGAUGCAGCGACGCCGCGUGAGUGAAGAAGUCUUUCGGUAUGUAAAGCUCUCUCAGCAGGGAAGAAAAUGACGGUACCUGAUUAAGAAGCCCCGGCUAACUACGUGCCAGCAGCCGCGGUAAUACGUAGGGGGCAAGCGUUAUCCGGAUUUACUGGGUGUAAAGGGAGCGUAGACGGUGAUGCAAGUCAGAAGUGAAAGCCCGGGGCUCAACUCCGGGACUGCUUUUGAAACUGUGUGACUGGAGUGCAGGAGAGGUAAGCGGAAUUCCUGGUGUAGCGGUGAAAUGCGUAGAUAUCAGGAGGAACACCAGUGGCGAAGGCGGCUUACUGGACUGUAACUGACGUUGAGGCUCGAAAGCGUGGGGAGCAAACAGGAUUAGAUACCCGAGUAC
rnacentral:rRNA from 1 species